GUCAGCAACUUCCAAACUGUGAUUAAGAUCGGAUGCCAUAUGCUCUACAGAUUCCAGUUGUUGCUUCCUGCUGGUAAGUUCCUCUCUAAGGGUUUCUACUUCUUGCCCCAGCAUUGCUUUCUCAUCCUGUAAUCGAUCAGCCAAGGUUCUCAAGUCUUCUGCAGUAUCCUCCAUCUCUUCAAUUCUUCUCACAGCAGUCUCUUUCUCCAUGAACAGGUUGUCUUUCUCUCUAGUCAUAUCUUCCAAUCUUGAACUUUGUACCAAAAUUGAUGAGGUAAGAGAUUUAUUUUCUUCCUCAGAAUGUGUCAAUUUUUGGCUUAAAUUUGACACUUGUUGCUCUGCAGAUUCUAGUUGCUGCUUAAUACUGGCAACUUCUGCUCUAAAAUUUUCUAGUUGUUGCCCAAGAAUUACCUUUUCUUUCUCAGCAACUUCCAAACUGUGAUUAAGAUCUGCUGCCAUCUGCUCUACAGAUUGCAGUUGUUGCUUCCUGCUGGUAAGUUCCUCUCCAAGGGUUUCUACUUCUUGCCCCAGCAUUGCUUUCUCAUCCUGUAAUCGAUCAGCCAAGGUUCUCAAGUCUUCAGCAGUCUUCUCUAUCUCUUCAAUUCUUCUCACAGCAGUCUCUUUCUCCAUGAGCAGGUUGUCUUUCUCUCUAGUCAUAUCUUCCAAUCUUGAAUUCUGUACCAAAAUUGACGAGGCAAGAGAUGUAUUUUCUUCCUCAGAAAGUGUCAACUUUUGGCUUAAAUCUGACACUUGCAGCUCUGCAUAUUCUAGUUGCUGCUUCAUACUGUUGACUUCUGCUCUAAAACUUUCUAGUUCUUGCCCGAGAACUGCCUUUUCUUUGUCAGCAACUUCCAAAGUGUGAUUAAGUUCGGAUACAAUGUGCUCUGUAGACUCCAGUUGGUGCCUCCUGCUGGUAAGUUCCUCUCUGAGGGUUUCUAUUUCUUGCCCCAGCAUUGUUUUCUCAUCCUGCAAUCGAUCAGCCAAAGUUCUCAAAUCUUCAGUAGUCUUCUCUAUCUCUUCAAUUCUUCUCACAGCAGUCUCUUUCUCCAUGAGCAGGUUGUCUCUCUCUGUAGUCAUAUCUUCCAAUCUUGAAUUCUGUACCAAAAUUGACGAGGCAAGAGAUUUAUUUUCUUCCUCAGAAUGUGUCAAUUUUUGGCUUAAAUCUGACACUUGUAGCACUGCAGAUUCUAGUUGCUGCUUAAUACUGGCAACUUCUGCACUAAAAUUUUCUAGUUCUUGCUUGAGAAUUUCCUUUUCUUUCUCAGCAACUUCCAAACUGUGAUUAAGUUCUGAUACCAUCUGCUCUGUAAAUUCCAGUUGCUGCUUCCUGCUGGUAAGUUCCUCCCCAAGAGCUCCUAUUUCUUGCCCCAGCAUUGUUUUCUCAUCCUGCAAUCGAUCAGCCAAAGAUCUUAAGUCUUCAGUAGUCUUCUCUAUCUCUUCAAUUCUUCUCACAGCAGUCUCUUUCUCCAUGAGCAGGUUGGCUUUCUCUCUAGUCAUAUCUUCCAAUCUUGAAUUCUGUACCGAAACUGAUGAGGUAAGAGAUUUAUUUUCUUCCUCAUAAUGUGUCAAUUUUUGGCUUAAAUCUGAAACUUGCAGCUCUGCACAUUCUAAUUGCUGCUUCAAACUGGUGA
rnacentral:lncRNA from 1 species